GUGCCUAGCAACCAGGCGGCAGAGAGCCCGGGGAGCGGAGCGGGAGGCAGGUCGGGCACACUUCACAGCCACCCCACCUUCCACUGGUAUAUCUGCGCAUUAGCCACGCCACCUCAGAGGUGCUCUGUCUUCUCUCAGCCUGAUUUCCUUGGUCACCUUGCCCAGUGCUUCACUGCAACUUCCUGCUUACCUACCAUUUGUGAUACAAGGUCUCCAAGUUUAUCCUUGCCAGAUCCACAGACCAAGGCCUCCUAACUACCAUGGAAAAAAGUGAGACUCUCCCUUAAAAUCUGACUUUUCAGAAAGAUUAUAUAGCUCAAGCAUACUGAAAGCAAGCUGCUGCCAGGUCAGCUAAGAUCCAUUUUUCUCAUCCACAUGCUGUCAACUUCCAGUAUUCCUUGGAUGACAAGCUGGAAGGCACAAACCUCAGAGCAGGGCAGAGAUUUAUUUUUAAUACAAUCAUUUAAUGUGAUUCUAACUCAUCAUAAUGUUUCUAUGCCCCUCAGGCACAAUCACAUCAGAAAACAUUUUAAAAUGUGAUGGCCUCUAGUGGGGUACAUUCAAAAACCUGACAGCUGU